CCUAACUGUUCUCAGCAUCUGAAGCCAAACUCUGGAGUCUCCAUCCUCCGGGCACGCUGGGGUCUCCAGAGCUCAGCUAGUGAGAGUGAGGGGAGCUCCAGCGGAUGGAAUCCCCUGAAGUAGAGGCAUUACUUCAGUUCACACUCCAGGAACCCAUGACUCCAUUGUCCACCAUUCGAACUCCAAACAGUGCCCACGGGAAUGCGUGUGACCACUUUGCCGCAGGAAGAAGGGUUAUUUCUCUGACUUCUGUCCAAAAGGAACUCGUCCAAAAGGAACCCAGGCUCCCAGAGGAGCAUCACUUUCAGGAGGGAGAGUCUAGGCCUUGUAGGAAGAUGGGAGGCGGGUAAGGGCAUUCCUGGAGCAAGGACCAACGGCUCCUGGCC
rnacentral:lncRNA from 1 species